GACGAACGCUGGCGGCGUGCCUAAUACAUGCAAGUUGAGCGCUGAAGGUUGGUCCUUGUACCAACUGGAUGAGCAGCGAACGGGUGAGUAACGCGUGGGGAAUCUGCCUUUGAGCGGGGGACAACAUUUGGAGACGAAUGCUAAUACCGCAUAAAAACUUUAAACACAAGUUUUAAGUUUGAAAGAUGCAAUUGCAUCACUCAAAGAUGAUCCCGCGUUGUAUUAGCUAGUUGGUGAGGUAAAGGCUCACCAAGGCGAUGAUACAUAGCCGACCUGAGAGGGUGAUCGGCCACAUUGGGACUGAGACACGGCCCAAACUCCUACGGGAGGCAGCAGUAGGGAAUCUUCGGCAAUGGAUGAAAGUCUGACCGAGCAACGCCGCGUGAGUGAAGAAGGUUUUCGGAUCGUAAAACUCUGUUGGUAGAGAAGAACGUUGGUGAGAGUGGAAAGCUCAUCAAGUGACGGUAACUACCCAGAAAGGGACGGCUAACUACGUG
rnacentral:rRNA from 1 species